GGGGGGGGGCAUCGCGUCUCUAAUGCAGUCGAAGAAGUCUUCGGACUUAAUGGCGCACGGGUGAGUAACAUGUGGGAAUCGACCUAAAGGUUCUGAAUAACUGCGGGAAACUGUAGCUAAUACCGGAUGUGUCUGCAAAGAGAAAGAUUUAUCGCCUUUAUAUGAGCCCGCACUAGAUUAGCUAGUUGGUGAGGUAAUUGCUCCACCAAGGCUACGAUCUAUAGCUGAUUUGAGAGGAUGAUCAGCCACACUGGGACUGAGACACGGCCCAAACUCCUACGGGAGGCAGCAGUAUGGAAUAUUGGACAAUGGGGGAAACCCUGAUCCAGCAAUGCCGCGUGAGUGAAGAAGGCCCUCGGGUUGUAAAACUCUUUCAUCAAUGAUGAUAAUGACAUUAGUUGAGGAAGAAGCUCCGGCUAACUUCGUGCCAGCAGCCGCGGUAAUACGAAGGGGGCUAGCGUUGUUCGGAAUCACUGGGCGUAAAGCGUAUGUAGGCGGAUCAAAAAGUUAGAUGUGAAAUCCCUGGGCUCAACCCAGGAACUGCAUUUAAAACUAGUGAUCUAGAAUUUGGUAAAGGUUAGUAGAAUUUCCAGUGUAGAGGUGAAAUUCUUAGAUAUUGGAAAGAAUACCAGAAGCGAAGGCGACUAACUAGGCCAUUUUUGACGCUGAGAUACGAAAGCGUGGGUAGCAAACAGGAUUAGAUACCCUGGUAGUCCACGCAGUAAACGAUGAGUGCUAGUCGCUGGGACAUUAGUUUCAGUGUCGAAGCUAACGCAUUAAGCACUCCGCCUGGGAAGUACGGUCGCAAGAUUAAAACUCAUAUAAAUUGACGGGUGCCCGC
rnacentral:rRNA from 1 species